UACAGAGGCCCCAAGCGUUACUGAGAAUCACUGGGUUUAAAGGGUGCGUAGGUGGUCCGUUAAGUUCGUUGUGAAAUCCCUGGGCUCAACCCAGGAAAUGCUUCGAAUACUGGCGGACUUGAGGCUAGUAGAGGUCACUGGAACUGACGGUGGAGCGGUGAAAUGCGUAGAUAUCGUCAGGAACGCCGAUGGUGAAGACAGGUGACUGGGCUAGUUCUGACACUGUGGCACGAAAGCGUGGGGAGCGAACGGG
rnacentral:rRNA from 1 species